UACGUAGGGUGCAAGCGUUAAUCGGAAUUACUGGGCGUAAAGCGUGCGCAGGCGGCUUUGCAAGACAGAUGUGAAAAUCCCCCGGGCUUAACCUGGGAACUGCAUUUGUGACUGCAUGGCUGGAGUGUGGCAGAGGGGGAUGGAAUUCCGCGUGUAGCAGUGAAAUGCGUAGAUAUGCGGAGGAACACCGAUGGCGAAGGCAAUCCCCUGGGCCUGCACUGACGCUCAUGCACGAAAGCGUGGGGAGCAAACAGG
rnacentral:rRNA from 1 species